rnacentral:rRNA from 1 species
GAUCCUGGCUCAGAAUGAACGCUGGCGGCAUGCCUAACACAUGCAAGUCGAACGAAGGCUUCGGUCUUAGUGGCGCACGGGUGCGUAACGCGUGGGAAUCUGCCCUUGGGUUCGGAAUAACAGCGGGAAAUUGCUGCUAAUACCGGAUGACGACGAAAGUCCAAAGAUUUAUCGCCUGAGGAUGAGCCCGCGUUGGAUUAGGUAGUUGGUGGGGUAAAGGCCUACCAAGCCGACGAUCCAUAGCUGGU